CCUGAUGUUAGCGGCGGACGGGUGAGUAACACGUGGGUAACCUGCCUGUAAGACUGGGAUAACUCCGGGAAACCGGGGCUAAUACCGGAUGCUUGUUUGAACCGCAUGGUUCAAACAUAAAAGGUGGCUUCGGCUACCACUUACAGAUGGACCCGCGGCGCAUUAGCUAGUUGGUGAGGUAAUGGCUCACCAAGGCAACGAUGCGUAGCCGACCUGAGAGGGUGAUCGGCCACACUGGGACUGAGACACGGCCCAGACUCCUACGGGAGGCAGCAGUAGGGAAUCUUCCGCAAUGGACGAAAGUCUGACGGAGCAACGCCGCGUGAGUGAUGAAGGUUUUCGGAUCGUAAAGCUCUGUUGUUAGGGAAGAACAAGUGCCGUUCAAAUAGGGCGGCACCUUGACGGUACCUAACCAGAAAGCCACGGCUAACUACGUGCCAGCAGCCGCGGUAAUACGUAGGUGGCAAGCGUUGUCCGGAAUUAUUGGGCGUAAAGGGCUCGCAGGCGGUUUCUUAAGUCUGAUGUGAAAGCCCCCGGCUCAACCGGGGAGGGUCAUUGGAAACUGGGGAACUUGAGUGCAGAAGAGGAGAGUGGAAUUCCACGUGUAGCGGUGAAAUGCGUAGAGAUGUGGAGGAACACCAGUGGCGAAGGCGACUCUCUGGUCUGUAACUGACGCUGAGGAGCGAAAGCGUGGGGAGCGAACAGGAUUAGAUACCCUGGUAGUCCACGCCGUAAACGAUGAGUGCUAAGUGUUAGGGGGUUUCCGCCCCUUAGUGCUGCAGCUAACGCAUUAAGCACUCCGCCUGGGGAGUACGGUCGCAAGACUGAAACUCAAAGGAAUUGACGGGGGCCCGCACAAGCGGUGGAGCAUGUGGUUUAAUUCGAAGCAACGCGAGACCUUACCAGGUCUUGACAUCCUCUGACACCCCUAGAGAUAGGGCUUCCCUUCGGGGCAGAGUGACAGUGUGCAUGAUGUCGUCAGCUCGUGUCG
rnacentral:rRNA from 1 species